UUGCUUCAGCAGCACAUAUACUAAAAUUGGAACAAUAACAAUAUUAUCAUAACCCCUGCAUGAGCAUGACCAAAUUCGUCAGGCGUUCCAUAUUUUU
ensembl:snRNA U6 U6 spliceosomal RNA